CCCCCUUCUAUUUUGAAUUUAGAAUCUUAUUGAUUUUGAACUGACAGGGUAUUCAUCACCUUACCCGCCUCCAGGGUACCCGCCAUCAGCGCCUCCGCCACCACCAUACGAAGGGUACCCACCACCACCACCACCACCACACGAAGGGUACCCACCACCACCACCACCUCCAGGGUAUCCAGGAUACCCACCACCGGGGCCACCACCUCCAGGGUAUCCAGGAUACCCACCACCGGGGCCACCGCGUGGGUACCAAGGGUAUUUCGCUGAAGGGUAUCCAACGCCUCCAGGUCCGCCACAGUACCAGCAGUGUUAUCAUUAUGAACACCACCCUUACCAGGAUAAUUAUGGUGG
rnacentral:lncRNA from 1 species